rnacentral:rRNA from 1 species
GACAGAGGGGGCAAGCGUUGUCCGGACUGACUGGGCGUAAAGCGCGCGCAGGCGGUCAGAGGCGUCGGUGCUCAAAGUCCACCGCUUAACGGUGGGAGGCGUGCCGAUACGCUCUGACUGGAGGGCGGGCGAGGGUAGUGGAAUUGCCGGUGUAGUGGUGAAAUGCGUAGAGAUCGGCAGGAACACCAGUGGCGAAGGCGGCUCACUGGCCCAUUACUGACGCUGAGGCACGAAAGCGUGGGGAGCAAACAGG